AACGAACGCUGGCGGCAGGCUUAUCACAUGCAAGUCGAACGCAUCCUUCGGGGUGAGUGGCAGACGGGUGAGUAACGCGUGGGAACGUGCCCUUCAGUUCGGGAUAACCCAGGGAAACUUGGGCUAAUACCGGAUACGUGCGAGAGCAGAAAGAUUUAUCGCUGAAGGAUCGGCCCGCGUCUGAUUAGCUAGUUGGUGGGGUAAUGGCCCACCAAGGCGACGAUCAGUAGCUGGUCUGAGAGGAUGAUCAGCCACAUUGGGACUGGGACACGGCCCAAACUCCUACGGGAGGCAGCAGUGGGGAAUAUUGGACAAUGGGCGCAAGCCUGAUCCAGCCAUGCCGCGUGAGUGAUGAAGGCCUUAGGGUUGUAAAGCUCUUUCGUCCGGGACGAUAAUGACGGUACCGGAAGAAGAAGCCCCGGCUAACUUCGUGCCAGCCGCCGCGGUAAAAC
rnacentral:rRNA from 1 species